AAACUGGAGAUGGCGACCGGCGCACGGGUGAGUAACACGUAUCCAACCUGCCGAUAACUCGGGGAUAGCCUUUCGAAAGAAAGAUUAAUACCCGAUGGCAUAAUAGAACCGCAUGGUUUGAUUAUUAAAGAAUUUCGGUUAUCGAUGGGGAUGCGUUCCAUUAGGCAGUUGGUGGGGUAAUGGCCCACCAAGCCUUCGAUGGAUAGGGGUUCUGAGAGGAAGGUCCCCCACAUUGGAACUGAGACACGGUCCAAACUCCUACGGGAGGCAGCAUG
rnacentral:rRNA from 1 species